rnacentral:rRNA from 1 species
GAUGAACGCUGGCGGCGUGCUUAACACAUGCAAGUCGAGCGAAGCUCUUUUGCGGAUUUCUUCGGAUUGAAGCAGAAGAUGACUGAGCGGCGGACGGGUGAGUAACGCGUGGGGAACCUGCCCCGUACCGGGGGAUAACAGAGAGAAAUUUCUGCUAAUACCGCAUAAGCGCACAGUAUGGCAUCAUACAGUGUGAAAAACUCCGGUGGUACGGGAUGGACCCGCGUUGGAUUAGCCAGUUGGCGGGGUAACGGCCCACCAAAGCGACGAUCCAUAGCCGGCCUGAGAGGGCGACCGGCCACAUUGGGACUGAGACACGGCCCAAACUCU